rnacentral:rRNA from 1 species
CAAUAGCGUAUAUUAAAGUUGUUGCAGUUAGAACGCUCGUAGUCGGAUUUCGGGGCGGGCCGACCGGUCUGCCGAUGGGUACGCACUGGCCGACGCGUCCUUUUUGCCGGAGACCGUCCCUACUCUUAACUGAGCGGGGUCGGGAGACGGCACUUUUACUUUGAAAAAAUCAGAGUGUUUCAAGCAGGCAGCUCGCUCUUGCAUGGAUUAGCAUGGGAUAAUGAAAUAGGACUUUGGUGCUAUUUUGUUGGUUUCGAACACCGAAGUAAUGAUGAGAAGGGACAGUCAGGGGCACUCGUAUUCCGCCGAGAGAGGUGAAAUUCUCAGACCAGCGGAAGACGAACCACUGCGAAAGCAUUUGCCAGGGAUGUUUUCACUGA